UACGGGGCUGGAGUACAGGAGAGGAGAGCGGAAUUCUCGGUGUAGCGGUGAAAUGCGUAGAUAUCGAGAGGAACACCGGUGGCGAAGGCGGCUCUCUGGACUGAUACUGACGCUGAGGCACGAAAGCUGGGGGAGCAAACAGGAUUAGAUACCCUGGUAGUCCCAGCCCUAAACGGUGUGCACUUGGUGUGGGAGGGAUUGUCCCUUCCCGCGCCGGAGCUAACGCGUUAAGUGCACCGCCUGGGGAGUACGGUCGCAAGAUUAAAACUCAAAGGAGUUGACGGGGGCCCGCACAAGCGGUGGAGCAUGUGGCUUAAUUCGAUGCAACGCGAAGAACCUUACCUGGGCUUGACAUGCUGGUAGUAGAAACCUGAAAGGGUGACGAGCCCGCAAGGGAAGCCAGCACAGGUGCUGCAUGGCUGUCGUUAGCUCGUGCCGUGAGGUGUUAGGUUAAGUCCUGCAACGAGCGCAACCCCUGUGGUUAGUUGCUACGUUCGGUGAUGAGUCGGACAGCACUCUAAUCAGACUGCCUGUGAAAAGCAGGAGGAAGGUGGGGAUGGCGUCAAGUCAGUAUGGUCCUUAUGUCCAGGGCUGCACACGUGCUACAAUGAUAGGUGCAGAAGGAUGCAAAGCCGCGAGGUGGAGCAAAUCCCCAAAACCUAUCUCAGUUCAGAUUGAAGGCUGCAACUCGCCUUCAUGAAGCUGGAAUCGCUAGUAAUGGCGCAUCAGCUACGGCGCCGUGAAUACGUUCCCGGGCCUUGCACACACCGCCCGUCA
rnacentral:rRNA from 1 species